CUCAAGCUCAACAGGAAGACUCUGCACCAUCCACGACUUUCUUAUGGUGCCCAGUUUGGCACUUCCAAGGCCCCCUCUUUGAGGGUGGGGGCUGGAUUUUCCAAGGAAGAAGGGACCUUAAACAAUCUUCUGACUUGUAACAGUCUCAGAAAGGCUGCAGGAUGUCGACCUGGUUGUACCGAAGCCUUUGACACCUCCCAUAGAACUAUCCCAGCUGUGAAGUCAUGGGGCCUUCACAGGGCCUGGACGAGAGACGACUGUGUUUGGACAACCCUGAGAAAUAAGCCUUCUGGCAUCUGGUGUCCACAGAGUCAGCAUUCUCAAUUUAAUAAAAAUGUAAAUGAUUUAAGCAAUAAUAAUUACCUUGGAGCUGUUACUGCUACCAGGAUUGGUUUAAAUGAAAACAAGACAGAGCCAAAGGAUUUGUAGUCUACCUUUACAUGGAUGGUAAAUAAAUCACUCUUUCUCAUUUUCA
rnacentral:lncRNA from 1 species